rnacentral:rRNA from 1 species
UACAGAGGGGGCAAGCGUUGUUCGGAAUUACUGGGCGUAAAGGGCGCGUAGGCGGCCUUCUAAGUCGAACGUGAAAACCCGCGGCUCAACCGCGGGCCUGCAGCCGAUACGGGCAGGCUAGAGUUCGGUAGGGGAGACUGGAAUUCCUGGUGUAGCGGUGAAAUGCGUAGAUAUCUGGAGGAAUACCGGUGGCGAAGGCGCAUCCUGGACCGGCAUUGACGCUGAUGAGCGAAAGCCAGGGGAGCAAACGGG